CAGUAGCCGCGGUAAUACGUAGGGUGCAAGCGUUAAUCGGAAUUACUGGGCGUAAAGCGCACGCAGGCGGUCUGUCAAGUCAGAUGUGAAAUCCCCGGGCUUAACCUGGGAACUGCAUUUGAAACUGGCAGGCUAAAGUCUUGUAGAGGGGGGUAGAAUUCCAGGUGUAGCGGUGAAAUGCGUAGAGAUCUGGAGGAAUACCGGUGGCGAAGGCGGCCCCCUGGACAAAGACUGACGCUCAGGUGCGAAAGCGUGGGGAGCAAACAGGAUUAGAUACCCGUGUAGUCCCUGUCUCUUAUAC
rnacentral:rRNA from 1 species